rnacentral:lncRNA from 1 species
UUAUCCCCACGCUUCUCCACUCAAGUACGCCAGCCGCACCCUGCUGGUUCAUUCGUGGAUGUCUCCUUUACCAUGCCUCAUGCCGAUUUCCAGGUUCUCUCCAGCCGCUCGGGCUCCCACCCCGCGCGCCCACUGCCUGGUGGGCACCGCUCCAGCUGCUCCCAUGGUGAGCUUGCCCUCCCUCUGUGCCCUGCCCCCUAUACGGCGCCCUCCCUGCUCCUCUCUCCCUCAUCUCUGCAACUUGGACAACUGCCCUAAAGCUCGCCCAAGCCGUGACCUAGCCGCUGUGUCCCUACUCCCUGCAUCACCUCUGCAUGCCAGCAAUCGCUUCAUCUUCCUCCUUCAGCUGAGCUCGCCCAGCCCCAUCUCCCCUGCAUCUCCCUUGGCUCACGAUGUCGGGCUCUAGGUUCGGCGCCCCUUCAUCCGGGUCACCGGCAACCUGCUCAUGCUCACGGAUGGCUAAUCUUUACCGCACGUGUACAACGCCGUCGAUUUCCACCACCUAUAACUGUUCCUUUGACCUUGUUGUUCAUCAUGGUUGUGCAUCGCGCAGCAGGUGUUCGACAAAAAGUCUAGUCCAGGAUUCCGACUCAACCUCGACCCUGCCAUCAUUGAAGGUCCUGCUAUCCCUUUGUUGUUCAUCGUCAUCAAGUUUUCCUUGCUAUUGUCUCACUUCUUUACUUUAGCUUUUGGGUAGUAAUUUCUUGAUAAAUCUCUUGUUUCUUGUAUGUUUAGAUGUGUGCGGCUGAGGGGCAUUCACAUAUGGGUGUUCAUGUCUAGUAUGAUUAAUUAGGUCCUUUGUAUGUAGAGUGUGGUGCAUUGGUGAUGCACAUAAUAGAUUUUGUGUUUCAAAUUUGGUUAAUGAGUCGAUGUCUUGCUCAAGUAAUUGUUAUAUUCUAGAUUUAGUGAUCGGUUGCGUGCCGUGGAGAAGGUUGCAUACUACCCUAAGUGGUUAAAAGUGAAUAACAUCAACAAGUCUAUUCCAGUUAGAAUCUAGAAAUUUCAUGACUAAAAGGAAUGCACAUCAAUACAUUAAGUCUUUGGUUAAUAAAAAUACUAUCAUGGGAUUUUAUGUUAUUUGAUAAUAAUCACCCCCACUAGAUUAAAUUUAUUUGAUGUAUGUGCUAUGAGUAUCUUCAUGAUUAAAGUAAUUUCCCUGCAUUUGUGUUGUGGGGUUUAGGCUUGAAGUGCUUAUUCGGGAAGGAGUGUUAGCGAAUAUAAAGGUUGAGUGUGAUUUAAUAAGUUCUAUUGUUGGAUUACUAUGUUUAGGUUGAUUCCUUUCUCUUGUGUAAGGCUUGCAUGCUAAUAUUCCUGCGUACGUAGAUGGAUUCCAUUCCCUGGUGUAAGGCUUGCAUGCCACUACUCCAGCGUACACACAUGUCAGGGUCCCAAUUAGGCGAUCACCUUCCUAGCACCGGGCACUGUUUCUAUAAACCGGUUGUCUACGAAAGGAGUCCGACCUAUAUUUAUGUUGGCUGAUCCUCACAUUACACUAUGAAUUAUUACUCUGUCAUGGUAUCACAGAGGUUCAUUCCGAACCACAACUUCCGCAUUUUCUAGCCACGCCACCCUGCCACCUCGUCGCCUUGGCCAACGACGCUGCCGCUGUCGCUGCUCGUCAUGCCUUGGAGCAGCGUGUUGCUGGCUUUACUGCUGAAGAACGCUGUGAGGCUGCUCGCCAAGAAGCUGCGCGCUAGGAGGCCGCGCGCUUGGAGCAGGAAAGACGCGACGCCGAUGCCCAUGUGCUGGUCGUCACCGGUGAGGUUGCCGCGGCUACUGCUGCGCUUCAUGCUGAAGCUGCGGCGAUCCUCAACGUCAAGUCUCUUGUCCCCAUCGUCCUUGACUUCACGUCGCCCCACUACAACAGAUGGCGUGGCCUCUUCCUCAACACUCUCGAGCGCUAUGCGCUCGUUGAUCAUGUGCUUUCCGACGAUGAUCGCUCCAAUGAUGCCAUGUGGAAGCGCAUGGACUGCACCGUCCUAUCCUGGCUCUAUGGUACGAUUAAUCCCGAGCUUCUCGAGGUUGUCAUGAACCGGGACGAUGGUCCUCCCACUGCUCGCCUUGUGUGGCUUGGACUGGAGCAGCAGUUCAUUGGGAACAAGGAGAGUCGUGCUCUUCUUCUCGAUGCCGAGUUCCACACCUUCGUCCAAGGCAGCCUGUCCAUCUCUAACUAUUGCCACUGGUUCAAGUCCAUGGCUGACCAACUUGUGGAUCUUGGCGAACCUGUUCGUGACCACACCUUGGUGCUCAACGUCAUUUGCGGCCUCAACGAUCGGUUCUCCUACCUCGGCACGCUGAUUCAACGUCAACGUCCGUUCCAGACAUUCGCUGAAGUGAAGUCCAAUCUUCGCCUUGCCGAGAUCAACAUGACUGCCAAGACUGCCUAGCCGUCUUAGGCCUUUGCUGCCUCAACUCCUCAUCCUCCUAUGCUGCCAUCGGACAACUUCGGCAGAUUCGGCGGUGGCCGCAAGCCGUCCAGGCAUGGCGGCGGUAAGAAAACCCAUGGAGGCGGUCACGGUUCCGGCCCUAGACCAGUCACUGCACCUUGGGCUGGUCAUCCAUCACGACCAAUGCCCUGCCAGCCUGCCUUUGGCAUGUUCCAGGCGUAUUGGGCUGGACCACCAGGAGUCUAGCCCCGUGCCCCUGGUUCUACACCGCAGGCGUUUUACAGUGGGCCUUCUGUGCUUCUUGGGCCGCCUCCGAUGCUGUCCGGGCCGCCCCCGAUGGUGCCCUUGCUAGGGCCGUUCCUUCCACCGGUAGCCUCGCCUGGGUCGUCUCUGCCGCCUGCACUAGGCUUCCUCGACGCCGGCCCACCACCACAAGGGUGGCUGCAUCCCGGCUUCUCCUGGGAUUCCAACAUGCUGGCCUCCAACUUCAACAUGAUGACACUUCAGCCACCACCAACUCACGAAUGGUAUAUGGAUACAGGUGCUGAAACUCACAUGACAUCUAACUCCGUUAAUCUUUGCACCUUUCAAACUCCUUCCUUUUUUACUCCAUCCAAUAUUGUCGUUGGCACUGGUUCUCUUUUACCUGUCACUCACACCGGCUCUGUCACCUUUCCUGCAGCAUGUGGUCCUCUACACCUAAAUAAUGUUAUUGUUUCUCCCCACCUCAUUAAGAAUCUCAUUUUUGUUCGACAAUUCACUAUUGACAAUAAAUGUUCUGUUGAAUUUGAUCCUUCUGGUUUUUCUGUAAAGGGCCUCGAAACUCGGAACGUGAUCAUCAGGUGCAAUAGCUCCGGUCCGCUAUAUUCGCUUCUGUCAUCGGUCUUUCGACCCUUAGCACUCGCUGCCGGCAUCUCUUCUUCCACUCUUUGGCAUGUGCGUCUUGGACACCUUGGUCAUGAGGCUUUGUCUAGUCUAGUGUCAUCAUGCGCUAUUACUUGUAAUAAGAGUGAUUCCGAUCAUUUGUGUCAUGCCUGUCAAUUAGGUCAUCAUGUGCGUCUUCUCUUUCCCACCUCCAGUUCGAGAGCAACCAAUAAUUUUGAUUUAAUACAUUGUGAUCUUUGGACAUCCCCUGUUCCUAGUAUUUCUGGCUACAAAUAUUACUUAGUCAUUCUUGAUGAUUGCUCUCACUUCCUCUGGACUUCCCCUUUGUGUCUUAAGUCCGACACUUUUUCCACUCUUACUCAUUUUUUGCCUAUGUCUCCACUUAGUUUGGCGUCACCAUUAAAAGCAUCCAGUGCGAUAAUGGUCGUGAGUUUGAUAACUCCUCCUCCCGCACAUUCUUUGCUACACAUGAUGUCAUUCUCUGCAUGUCUUGUCCCCAUACCUUGCCACAAAAUGGAAAGGCUGAGCGAAUUAUUCGCACCACCAACAAUAUCCUUCGCUCGCUCCUAUUCCAAGCCAGCAUGCCCCCGUCCUACUGGGUCGAGGCCCUUCAUACUGCCACAUAUCUUCUCAAUCGCCAUCUCACUAAAACCUUGGCCUCCGCCACACCCUUCCUGGCACUAUUCAAAGCACAACCCUCCUAUGACCAUGUUUGUGUCUUUGGAUGUAGUUGUUAUCCUAAUCUCUCCUUCACUGCUGCACACAAGCUAGCCCCACGCUCAGCUGCCUGUGUCUUCCUCAGCUAUCCCUCCGAUCAUAAAGGGUAUCGUUGUCUUGAUCUUUCUACCAAUCGAAUUAUAAUCUCACGUCAUGUUAUUUUUAUGAUACUUCAUUUUCUUUCUCUGAAGUCUCUUCACCUCCUUCAUCUGACUUUGACUUUCUAUCGGAGUUUGAUGAUGCACCUGUUAUUUCUCCUGGAAUCUCAAUAUUUCAGGUACAACGGCUCGACAUACUGCUGCCCUAUUGGCCCCUCGCCCUAGGUUGCUGCCAGCGGUACCACACAGUUCCCGGCUUCGGCGUCCACAAGGGUGGCUUGCACUCCAUCUAGCGUGUCCGCCCCUGCGUACCCUAGUUCCACACCUACCACCACCUCGACCUCGUCUACUCCAGCCACUGCUGCCUCUCCGGAGCCUGCUGAGGAACACAUCACCCGUGCUCCUACUGGGAACGCGUAUGGGAGCGCUGCCCCUACGGCGCCUGGUUCGGCCAGCACCACUGGUGCUUAUUCAGGCGACGUGCAUGGGAGCGCAGCUCUGCACGACACGAUACCUCUUCUCGAGCGGGCAUCGCCUCCCCAUGUUGUGGCUGUUCAGCCUCCAGCCAAUGACCACAGCAUGCUGACGCGUGGCAAACGGGGUUUUCGUCAACCAAAGGUAUUGCUUGAUCUGCAUGCUGCUCCUUUGUCUCCCGUGCCAAAAUCAUACAGUGGGGCAUUGGCUGAUCCAAAUUGGAGGGCUGCUAUGUCUGAGGAAUUUUUUGCACUACAAAAGAAUAACACUUGGGACUUUGUUCCUCGUCCUUCGGGUGCUAAUAUUGUGACUGGCAAAUGGGUUUAUCGUUACAAGUUUCGUUCCAAUGGUUCCCUAGAGUGGUACAAGGCACGCUGGGUUCUUCGUGGUUUCACUCAAUGCCCUGGAAUUGAUUUUGAUGAGACUUUUCAGUCCAGUUGUCAAACCUGCUACCAUUCGUACAGUGCUUACAGUGGCUCUCUUCCAUAGUUGGUCUGUCCAUCAUCUUGAUGUGAAGAAUGCGUUCUUGCAUGACACCCUUGAUGAGACUGUCUAUUGUGUGCAACCUGCUGGUUUUGUUGAUAUCUCUCGGCCUGAUCAUGUAUGUUGUCUGAACAAGUCUCUUUAUGGGUUGAAACAAGCUCUGCGUGCCUGGUAUAGUCGUUUUGCCACUCACAUUCUCUCUCUUGGCUUUGUGAGUGCCAAAUCUGACACAUCUUUGUUUACAUAUCAACAUGGCCAUGACACAAUUUAUUUACUUCUAUAUGUGGAUGAUAUUAUGUUGACAGCAUCUUCAGACUCCCUACUUUAGUGGGUGAUUGCAGCUCUGCAACAAGAAUUUUGUAUGACAGAUCUCAGCCCUUUGCACCAUUUUCUUGGUCUCAUGGUGACACAACAGCCUGAUGGGUUUUAUCUUUCCCAGCGGCAAUAUAUUCUUGAGGUUCUUGAACGUGCGGGUAUGACAGAUUGCAAGCCAUGUUCUACUCCUAUUGACACGAGUAGCAAGCUUUCUGGUACUAAAGGGCCACCUGUUGCUGAUCCGACUCACUAUCGGGGUUUGGCCGGUGCACUGCAGUAUAUCACCUUCACUCGGCCUGGCAUUUCUUAUGCUAUUCAACAAGUUUGUCUUCACAUGCAUGAUCCUCGGGAACCACAUUACAUGUUGAUCAAACGUAUUCUUUGCUAUCUGCAUGGGACAUUGAAUCAUGGCCUACAUCUUGGUCCCACAGAUGUCUCUACAUUGGUUGCCUACUCUGAUGCUGAUUGGGCUGGUUGUCCUGACACCCGUUGGUCGACCUCUGGGUAUGCUAUUUUUCUUGGUGAUAACCUUGUCUCUUGGUCAUCCAAGUGUCAGCCUACUGUAUCCCGCUCUAGUGCUGAAGCAGAGUACCAUGCGGUGGCAAAUGCAGUUGCUGAGACCACCUAGCUUCGUCAGCUCCUACACGAAAUGCAUAUUACCCUGAAGCACGCCACUAUUAUCUUCUGUGACAAUGUUAGUGCAAUCUACCUCUCCUUGAACGCAAUGAAUCAUCAGCGUACGAAGCACAUUGAGAUCGAUCUACACUUCGUUCGCAAACGAGUCGCGGUCGGUACAGUUCGAGUAUUGCAUGUCUCUACCUCCUCUCAGUAUGCUGAUAUCUUCACCAAGGGAUUGCCUUCGUCUGUAUUCACUGAGUACAAGUCCAGUCUGAACGUUCUUCAGUGCGGCUGACCAAGUUCAUCCUACAAGGGGGGUGUUGGAUUACUAUGUUUAGGUUGAUUCCUUUCCCUGGUGCAAGGCUUGCAUGCCAAUAUUCCUGCGUACGUAGAUUGAUUCCAUUCCCUGGUGUAAGGCUUGCAGCCACUACUCCAGUGUACACACAUGUCAAGGUCCCAAUCAGGCGAUCACCUUCCUAGCACCGGGCACUGUUUCUAUAAACCGGUUGUCUAAGGAAGGAGUCCGACCAAUAUUUAUGUUGGUUGAUCCUCACAUUAUACUAUAAAUUAUUACUCUAUCAUCUAUGUUUGGCAAAUAUGUGUUGUAGAAAAUGGAUUCAUGGUUAUAAAGUAGAAGAAAUCUAUAUAGAUGAUUUAGAGAACUAGUUAAAUAAUGUGUAGGAGCUAAGUCUGAACUAAAACAAAAUAGUUGCUGUUUUGGGCUGCAUGUACUGUUUUUGUCGUGCCAAUUGAUUGAUGAACUAAAUUAUGUUUUCUGUAGAAUAGUCAUAUAUAAAAGUUGUAGAUAAAUUUAUUAUCUUGCUUGUGUUAAAAUUUGACAGCCAUAAGUCUGAUCGUUCAGGAGUUAUGCGUCUCACAAGUGCAAUAUCAAAAUCUGUCCAAAUUCUAUACAGGUUUGGAAAAUUGGAUUGGUUAGCUAAGCUAAACUGAGAAUCAGCCCUUAGUAAUUAUAGAAGAAUUAUAGUACUGUUUCUAAUCUUUCCAAAAAGUCUUAGAUCACCCUUUUUCUAUUAGCUUUCUAAAAAGUCUAGCAUCACCUGAUUUAGAUGCCUGAAAUUCCAGUUAUGAAUUUUUGAAGUGAGUAGUGGAAUUCUGUCCAAAUCUGGACAGAAUUUAUGUUUAGCACUGUUUGACCUUUCUAAAGGUCGAAUCUUUUUGUGAUAGUAAAAAGUUAUAGAGGACUUUAUAAGCUUUUCAGAAUGUCCUAGUUUACUAUUUUUGGAUGCAUAUUUUGUGAGUUAUGAAUAAAACAAUUAACCGCUGCGCUGCUGUCCAGAAAAUCUGCAUGUGUUAAAUUGAUUGCUUGGAGUCAUUCUUAUUUGGCUAGGUAGGAUUUGUCCAUUCUUGAUCCUUGAUUGAUGACAACUUGUUGCCUCUGAAGUGUUUAUCGAAAUGCCUUGUUAUAUUGGAGUAAUUCAUUUCGUUCUUACUGUUUGAUCUAGACUUUAGUAAUUGGGAAUGAAGUAAAUACUUUGGUGAGUGCAUUUGAAUUAGUGACAUUGAUGCCUUGUCUUAGGAAGUAUUGUCUUCUAUGUAAUCACUGGCGUUAAUAAGUCAUCAAUUGUUGUUGAUUUCUAUUUCGAGUAUCUAGGAUCAAGUAGCACCGAUAAGUCUAAUCCAAGUAAAGUAUGAAAUCUAUGUGGUACUAGAUGUGCAUGAGGAGUUUAGGUUGAAAUGCCAAUUAUGUGUAGAGUGGUAAGUUAGUAAUUUCAAUAUUUUGUAGGUAAGUGGUCUCGAGGUUACUGUGAUGAUUUAGUUGUUUGAGUGAAUAUUUAUGUGAUGGAUGCUUUACCUGCUAGCUCACAAUUGUGAUGUCUUAGCUAGUGUAUGAUUCAAGUUAUUUGGACAUGGUGGUUUAGAAAGUUAAUAGAUUUCUUCUAUCCAUAUUUUCUUCUAGAUGUAUGUUAGUGAAGAACCUAAGGUUACUAGUUUUUCGAUGAAUCCUUAAUCCUAGGAGAAUAUAGAACCCAAGUAAAACAUGUUGCUAGAUGUUUGGUUUAGGUCCAUUUGACUUGAAGGUCAUGUUUGUGUAAGGCAAAAGCAUCUAAGUAAAGUUGAAAUGUCUUGCUUUAAGUGCUUAAUCUACUUCAGGUAGCAUUAUCUAGCUCGUGCUAUUUAUACUCGUGCUCAUUCAUGUGCAUCUUGCAUAUCACAUAGGUACGUUCAUUGAUCACAUAAUGUGGAGGACAACAACUGGAAUGAUCUCAAGGUGGGACUGAUGAAUGAACCCAAAGUUGAAUGAUCUGAUCAUGCAGGAAUGGGAGAUGCUCGCCAUGUGAGUGUCAUCUAACAACACAAACAUAGUGUUAUCUUAGGCAAGCAUUGGUGCAUUUGCCCCUUCCUUGUUAUUUAAAUGCUUUAUCACUUAUAUGCCGCAUUAGGUGAUAGGAGUUGUGUGAAUAAACAAUUGAUGCAUCACCUUUCCUUAGAAUUCGAUUACUAUUCCUUGAUACAUGUUUUAUAAAAAGAACUGAUAACGCUUAUCCCUGCUUAGAAACUGAAAAAUCGUUUGUUUUAAAAAAGUAUGUUGUGGAACACUGUUAUGGACUUUUUGUUUCAAAAAUCAAAGCAAACUUAUGGUGAUGAUUCCCCUUCAUCCGGAGUGGGUUCAUCAUUCGGAAAAGAGUACCACUGCCGGGUACCAAAAAUGGGAAAAUGGUUGGAAUAAAUCUAGACCAGACACUGAGUAGGAAAGGUCACCCGUCUGUGUCGCUUAAGGACCGCAUGAUUGUUGGCCUGCUGAUCUAGGACCCUUUAACUGGCCACAUGUCUCGUCAUGGGUAAGCUUAGCCUCGGCUGGACCAAUACUAGAAAGGCUGGCCCUCAAUGGGAGUGGAGAGAUGGUGAGAGUAUCGUGUAUCCACCUGGCAAGAGGCUGGAUGGUGGGGUACUAAGCUCUCGGUUGGCGGGGACCUGUUCUGGUGUUGAGAAACCCGGGUGCAAGUUGACAUAUGCAAGGGUUAAGUGCUACAUAUGUCGUGUGGUUGGAGAUCCCCAGCUAGGUAUUAAUUGAUUCGGAUCGUCGACCUUCUCGCAUAUGAAGACUAUAUCUUCGACCCUCAUCGUAGAUAACAAGUGAAACUAAAGCUGCUAAAAUGAAGCUAGUGUAGGACAAGUGAAUGCUCUAGAUUAGGCAAAUCUAGAUUCAGGAAAAGUACUUAACUUGUGAAGUAAAAUUUUGGCAUAAGGAUCCACUACUAGUAAGCUUUUUUGCAAAAAUGAGUCUUUGAAACUUGAUGAGCCUUACCUUGAAUCCUUUUAAAACCAUCAUACACUUGAGAGUCUUUUCUUUAGUCGGGUAAGUCUUGCUGAGUAAUUGCGUACUUAGGAUUUUAUUCCCUGUUGUUUUUCAGGUUAUAACUUUGUUCUGUUGUGGAUGGUGCUAAGUGUCGGUGGGCUCGGCCUUCUCAUAUGUAUAAGUAUAUCUCAUCUAUAGUUCUUUAUUAAGGAUUGUCACAUAAGCUAGCAUGUAUUUUAAAACUUAUAAAUGUUUUAUACAUUUUAAAGUGUAAUUUUUUUGAAACACUUUCUUUUGUAAUCAACUCCGAUGAUAUAUAUUGUAACCCUGCUAUAACUUGUAACUAUUGUAACUCAUAAUCAUGUUGUAAUAAAGAAUUUAUUUCCGCUGCAAAUGUUUGUAUGUGAGUUGUGUUUACUUAA